GGGGUUGUAGCUUAGUUGGUAGAGCGCGUCGUUCGCAAUGACGAGGUCGUCGGUUCGAAUCCGAUCAACUCCACCA
rnacentral:tRNA from 1 species